GAUGAAGAACGUAGCGAAAUGCGAUAAGUAGUGUGAAUUGCAGAAUUCAGUGAAUCAUCGAAUCUUUGAACGCACAUUGCGCCCCUUGGUAUUCCAUGGGGCAUGCCUGUUCGAGCGUCAUCUACACCCUCAAGCUCUGCUUGGUGUUGGGCGUCUGUCCCGCCUCUGCGCGCGGACUCGCCCCAAAUUCAUUGGCAGCGGUCCUUGCCUCCUCUCGCGCAGCACAUUGCGCUUCUCGAGGUGCGCGGCCCACGUCCACGAAGCAACAUUACCGUCUUUGACCUCGGAUCAGGUAGGGAUACCCGCUGAACUUAAGCAUAUCAAUAAGCGGAGGA
rnacentral:misc_RNA from 1 species